rnacentral:rRNA from 1 species
GAUGAACGCUGGCGGCGUGCUUAACACAUGCAAGUCGAGCGAAGCACUUAAGUUUGAUUCUUCGGAUGAAGACUUUUGUGACUGAGCGGCGGACGGGUGAGUAACGCGUGGGUAACCUGCCUCAUACAGGGGGAUAACAGUUAGAAAUGACUGCUAAUACCGCAUAAGACCACGGUACCGCAUGGUACAGUGGUAAAAACUCCGGUGGUAUGAGAUGGACCCGCGUCUGAUUAGGUAGUUGGUGGGGUAACGGCCUACCAAGCCGACGAUCAGUAGCCGACCUGAGAGGGUGACCGGCCACAUUGGGACUGAGACACGGCCCAGACUCCUACGGGAGGCAGCAGUGGGGAAUAUUGCACAAUGGAGGAAACUCUGAUGCAGCGACGCCGCGUGAAGGAUGAAGUAUUUCGGUAUGUAAACUUCUAUCAGCAGGGAAGAAAAUGACG